rnacentral:rRNA from 1 species
UGCCAGCCGCCGCGGUAAUACGGAGGUUGCAAGCGUUGUUCGGAAUAACUGGGCGUAAAGCGGACGCAGGCGGCUAAGUCAGUCUGAAGUGAAAUCCCGGGGCUCAACCUCGGAAUGGCUUCGGAUACUGCUUGGCUUGAGUACGUGAGAGGAGAGUGGAAUUCCUGGUGUAGCGGUGAAAUGCGUAGAUAUCAGGAGGAACACCAAUGGCGAAAGCAACUCUCUGGCACGUUACUGACGCUGAGGUCCGAAAGCGUGGGGAGCGAACAGGAUUAGAUA